AUACGUAGGUGACAAGCGUUAUCCGGAUUUACUGGGCGUGAAGGGCGUGUAGGCGGUCUUGCAAGUCAGAAGUGAAAUUCCUGAGCUCAACUCGGGCGCUGCUUCUGAAACUGCAGGCCUUGAGUGCAGGAGAGGAAAGGGGAACUCCCAGUGUAGCGGUGAAAUGCGUAGAUAUGCCACAGAACGCCGAUAGCGGAGGCAGCUCGCCAGGCCUGCAUUGACGCUCGGGCACGAAAGCGUGGGGAUCGAACAGGAUUAGAUACCCUGGUAGUCCACGCCGUAAACGAUGGGCGCUCGUCGUCGGCGGCAGACAGUCGGCGGCCAAGCGAAAGCGAUAAGCGCCCCACCUGGGGAGUACGGUCGCAAGGCUGAAACUUAAAGGAAUUGACGGG
rnacentral:rRNA from 1 species